AAAAAAGUUACAGAGAAGAUAUAUUAUCGAAUGGAACCUGUGUAUCAGCCCUAUUAUGUGGAUCCCCAGUUGGAAUUACUCAUUGAAAGAAUUUACCCUCCCAGAGUUUGCAUAGACAAUGAUACCUUUCAGGAUUGCACCCUUGUGAAGGUUGAUAGUGCAAACAAACAUGGAAUUCUACUUGAGAUGGUGCAAGUUUUGACGGAUCUUGAUCUUGUAAUCUCUAAAUCUUACAUUUCUUCAGACGGUGGAUGGUUUAUGGAUGUUUUCCAGGUGACAGAUCAAUUUGGAAAUAAACUCACAGAUGAAAGUCUCAUCCAUUACAUUAAGCAGGCAUUGUGUGCGAGUAGGAGAGAAGGGUCAUCGAGAAAAAUGAGAAUGUGCAAUAUGGGAAAGGAAUUGUUGUCAUCAGAGCAUACGGCGGCAGAGAUCACCGGAAUUGAUAGGCCAGGCCUCUUAUCGGAGAUAUUCGCCGUACUGGUUGAGUUGGGCUGCAACGUCACAGCGGCCGUUGCGUGGACCCACCACAAAAGGGCAGCCUCCAUUAUCUACUUGGAAGAAGGUUGGAAUGGUGGACUCAUAAAGGAUCCAAAACGGCUGGCCCAUGUGCAAGAGCAACUUGAGAACGUGGUUGACGCCCAUAAUGGACAGGGGGAAACAAGCAGCGUGAAGUUGACAGCUCCUUCGGCUGGACGGACCCACACCGAACGACGGCUCCACCAGCUAAUGUAUGCCAAUGGCGACUACGAGCAGUGUCGGUGUCGCGACGAUAGCGAAAUAUGUAAAAAGAGUUGCACUCGUACACAUGUAAGGAUAGAGAGUUGUAAGGAGAAAGGAUAUUCGAUUAUCAAUAUUAAGAGCAGGGACCGUCCAAAGCUGCUGUU
rnacentral:misc_RNA from 1 species